UAAACAGGAGGACAGUUGGGAGGGUAGACUUGGAAUUAUUUCGUAAAGUGGAGUGGGGAUAGUAUCUUUCUUUCUCAUUUUUUUGGACCUGGAUUUCUCAAUCGUGUUUAUUAUAUACCCCGGCGUUGUGGUUGCUUAACUUGUUAUGAUCUAUAUACAUGGACGUAUACCCAGAGGGUAAAAGAUGAAAAAUAUGGGAAAUUUUUGAACUCCAUGACGCUUUGCUUGGAAAUGAACUGAACGAACAAAAGAGCAAAAGGAAUAUUGGCACAGUGUUUCUGCCCAAAAAUCUGCGCCGAAAAACGCCGCAUUGAUGACAUUAAACUCAUUCAGUGCAUUCGAUCCCUUCAAGAGCCAUCAUAGCCUUUCCCCCUUCUCGCUCAAAAAUUCCAACCAAUCUUUCGCAUUCACUUCGCAGCUUAGCUUCUCCAUUUUUUGCAUUCCACAUGAUCCAUUCUUCCACGGUCAUCUGUUUCUCUGGGCUUGUUAGGUCCCCUCUAACGGCGUGAAGAAUAUCAUUGAUAUUCACAUUCUCUUUACUGAUCGAAUCCGAGAGGAAAAUUUCAUCUGGGUCAACGGGACUCCAAGGAUGGGAGGUAAUUAGCUGACCAGACUGUGCAUAUAUUUUUGACGGUGAAGUGAUAGGUGUGCUUGUCGCAAGGGGCACAACAAAAGUUGCCUGUGGUUUGGAAACACAUGACGAGGUGGGUCGGGUAUUUGGUCGGCUUGAGGGUGGCCUGUUCUCUGCAUCGGACGAUUGCGGGGAUGGAGACGGCGUGGACUCAUUCACCCGUGCAUUUGGCGAAAUUGGGUUAUGAGAGACUUGAACUAUCUGGUCCGAUGCGCGCUCAAACAUUCCUGGGUUAUUCAGUCGUUGUUGGGUACCACUCCGCUUUAAUGAUGUAUCAUUAUUUCCGGAUGCUUUAAACGCGACCUUCCGUGGUACAUUGGUUGACGUUUGAGUUUCUGGGCCUACUUGCGGUUCCUUGCCGCUAGGGCUUGUACCCGAUAUUUUAAGCGCCUUAUUGUGACUUUCAUUUAUCGUUUUGUUUUGGACGGGAGGUUCGUGGAGGUAAGAUGGGAUAGGAGUAGUCUCUUCAGAAACUGGAAUCUCAUUUUGCAGUUGCUGAUUUUGCUUCUUCGAAUUCCCGGUGGAGCCCUUAGGUCGCCCAGGUCUUU
rnacentral:sRNA from 1 species